rnacentral:tRNA from 3 species
GGGGCCGUAGCUCAGCUGGGAGAGCGCUGCGUUCGCAAUGCAGAGGUCGGCGGUUCGAUCCCGCUCGGCUCCACCA